CUUUGCAUGUUUUAUGGGACUUUCCUUAUGAGGUAGGCUCUCCAAUUUUUUGUGAGAUGUAAAUUCAAGUAUUGUGUUUGAAAUUUUGUGAGUAAAAACCAUGAAAGAAGGAUUUAAAUAUUUUUUUGAAUUUUUGUUGUAGAGGUGGGUGAUUUGGCUUUUGACCAGCUGAUUUUGCACGUGCUUGACUUCGAUGUAAACAAACUCUCACGCCUUGCUGGAUGGUUCCUUCAGGAAUUGAUGAACCGAGUGCAGCACACUUGAGGGCAGUCGAUUUUCCGGGUCCAUGGUUCAUCCGGUGUAUAGAGGAGAGAAUCUGAGGCUCAAAGUUCCGAGAACAGACAUGAUAUAUGUUGCCUGGGUUGCUGGCUGAAAAGGAUUUCUGUCUCGAGACCAGUACAGAGGAUUAUUGUACCGCCCAUCACCUUCCACAGGUAUUGGUGUCUCCCGUGGGAACCCACAGUUCUC